GACGUAGGGCGCGAGCGUUGUCCGGAUUUAUUGGGCGUAAAGAGCUCGUAGGCGGUUUGUCGCGUCUGCCGUGAAAUCCCGCGGCUCAACUGCGGGUCUGCAGUCGAUACGGGCAGGCUAGAGUUCGGUAGGGGAGACUGGAAUUCCUGGUGUAGCGGUGAAAUGCGCAGAUAUCAGGAGGAACACCGAUGGCGAAGGCAGGUCUCUGGGCCGAUACUGACGCUGAGGAGCGAAAGCCAGGGGAGCGAACGGGG
rnacentral:rRNA from 1 species